GCACCGUGCACCCAUGACACCAUGUGUCACCCACAGCACCACGUCGCCCGUGGCACCGUGCACCCAUGGCACCCGUGACACUAUACGUCACCCACAGCAGCGCGUCACCCGUGGCCCCCAGCACCACAACACCCCACGGCACCGUGCAGCCCCAUCGCCUGCGCCACCGCGUCACCCGUAGCGCCCAGCGCCGCGUCACCCGGGGCGCAGGGCCCCCCAGACCCGUGCACCCGUCCCCGUCCCCAGGCACUGACCAGGACGUGGGGGCCACCAGGGGGGCCGCUGCCCCGCGCYGCCUCCCGCCGCUGCACGUGGUGCCGCUCCGCGCUCUGCUCCAGCUGCCGGCGCCCGGGGUCACCACCGCGGGGACCGGGCCACCGUCCCCCCUGCCGCCCCCUGCCACCGCCGCCCCGGCCACCCGGCUCCCAGGGUCCCCUCGGCCCCCAGUGGGACCUGCCACCCGGCGUGUCCCCUUGGGGUCACCCAGCGUCCUCCUGGCCACCCCUGCCUCCCAGGGCCACCCACCUCUCAGUGCCACCCAGUGUCCCCAGCACCUCCCAGGGCCACCUGCACCUCCCAGAGCCACCAAGUGUCCCCAGGGCCACACACCUCCCAGGGCCACCCGGUGUCCCCAGCACCUCCCAGGGCCACCCACCUCCCAAUGCCACUCAGUGUCCCCAGCACCUCCCAGUGCCACCCGCACCUCCCAGGGCCACCAAGUGUCCCCAGGGCCACCCACCUCCCAGUGCCACCCAGUGACCCCAAUGCUACCCAGUGUCCCCAGCACCCCCCGGUGCCACCCAUCGCUCCAGUCCCUGGUGCCACCCAGCUCCCCGUGUCCCCAGGGCCCCCCGGCGCCGCGCGCGGGGCACCCACCCGGGGGGGCAGGGUGCCGAUGGGGGGGCUGGCGGAGCAGUUGCGGGGCCCCGAGUGGCCGGUGACGAGCAGCAGGGGCUUGCCGCGGUGGCUCAGGGGACAGCGCAGCUCCAGGGUGCCGUGGCUGAUGGCGCUGGGGCCCUCGUUCACCACCUGCGGGGCGCCCAGCCGGGGGACACGUGG
rnacentral:lncRNA from 1 species